rnacentral:rRNA from 1 species
GAGAUUUUGAGGAGUAGAGACUUCGGUCAAAGCGAGUCAAAUGAAAGCGGCGGACGGGUGAGUAACGCGUGAGCAAUCUGCCCCAUACAAAGGGAUACCCACUGGAAACGGUGAUUAAUACCUUAUAAGACCACAGAGUCGCAUGGCUCAGGGGUCAAAGAUUUAUCGGUAUGGGAUGAGCUCGCGUCUGAUUAGCUAGUUGGUAAGGUAAUGGCUUACCAAGGCGACGAUCAGUAGCCGACCUGAGAGGGUGAACGGCCACACUGGAACUGAGACACGGUCCAGACUCCUACGGGAGGCAGCAGUGGGGAAUAUUGCACAAUGGGCGCAAGCCUGAUGCAGCAACGCCGCGUGAAUGAUGAAGGCCUUCGGGUCGUAAAGUUCUGUCCAAAGGGAAGAAUAAAAUGACGGUACCUUUGGAGGAAGCCCCGGCUAACUACGUGCCAGCAGCCGCGGUAAUACGUAGGGGGCAAGCGUUAUCCGGAAUCACUGGGCGUAAAGGGAGCGUACGCGGUUUGACAAGCCAGAAGUGAGAGGCAAUAGCUUAACUAUUGUAAGCCUUUGGAACUGUCGAACUUGAGUGCAGGAGAGGAAAGUGGAA